GACGAACGCUGGCGGCGUGCCUAAUACAUGCAAGUAGGACGCAGUUGCGAAUGGGUGCGUAACGCGUAGGUAACUACCUAUUAGAGUGGGAUAACUAUUGGAAACGAUAGCUAAUACCGCCUACUAGUAGAUGGACCUGCGUUGUAUUAGCUAGUAGGUUGGGUAAUGGGCUACCUUGGCAACGAUACAUAGACGAACCGGGAAGGUGGACAGGCACACUGGGACUGGGACACGGCCCAGGAUCCUAAGGGAGGCAGCAGUAGGGAAUCAUCGGAAAUGGGGGGAACGCUGAACGAGCACCGCCGCGGGAGUUAAGAAGGGUUUCGGAUCGUAAAGCUCUGUUGUUAAGGGAGCGGUACCUAAAGAGAAAGGGACGGCUAACUACGUGCCAGCAGCCGCGGUAAUUC
rnacentral:rRNA from 1 species